rnacentral:rRNA from 1 species
AACGAACGCUGGCGGCAUGCCUAACACAUGCAAGUCGAACGAGACCUUCGGGACUAGUUGCGCAUGGGUGCGUAACGCGUGGGAACCUUCCCUUAGGUUCGGAAUAACUCCCCGUAAGGGGUGCUAAUACCGGGUAAUGUCUUCGGACCAAAGAUUUAUCGCCUUUGGAUGGGCCCGCGUUGGAUUAGCUAGUUGGUAGGGUAAAAGCCUACCAAGGCGACGAUCCAUAGCUGGUCUGAGAGGAAGAUCAGCCACACUGGGACUGGGACACGGCCCAGAAUACUACGGGAGGCAGCAGUGGGGAAUAUAGGACUACGGCGUAAAGGAUGAUGCCGCACUGCUGCGUGAGUGAUGAAGUUGUGAGAGUAGAAAAGCAGUUUUACCCGGGACGAUAAUGACAGUACCGGGAGAAUAAGCUCCGGCUAACUCCGUG